GAAGAAAGCACUGGGCUUCACAGUGUUACGGCGUACAAACAUUCACAAGGAUCUCUGCAUAUUCUGAAAGCUGCAUUGUUUUGUUCUGUGAAAUUUCCUUCCUGCUCUGCUGGAACAGUACAACUGGAAGAGCUGCUGCAGGCUUCAGGUGAAGCUGCUGGGAAAAUUGCUAUCUAGGAGUUUGGGGGAUGUAAAACAAGGUGUUCUGGUGAGUUUAUUGAGGUGUAUUCAGUUCUGUAUCCGUAUUAUCAUCUGAAUUUUUGAACAACCACUUUAUCAGCGCUCAGAAAACACCUCAGUUGCACAUAGGAAGUGAAUUCACAGCAAGCAGAAUCUAUUAUUGGAAAGCAAAACAAUAAGAAAUCCCACCAACACACACUCAGAAAGUUUGUUUCUCUGUUGGAUAUGGUCUUCAUAUAUUUCAAGACAUAUGAGCACUGUGCUUUUCUCCUGGGAGUGCUUAUUGACCAAAUACAGAUCAAAAGAUACUUAACAAGCAGCGUUUCUCUUUUGCAGUUCUUCUCCAGCAAACAAUGUUCAGUUAUCUGGAGUUUAGGAGCAACAAUGACUCUAAACUCUAGAUUAUGCAG
rnacentral:lncRNA from 7 species